GGCGUAUAAAAUUAUAAUCCUGGUACUUUUGAUAACUAUUUACACCACUGGGUCGAUGCCACUGCUGGUGGACGUUUCGUCCCCGAGGGUAUCACCAGUCCAGUAGUCAGCACUUCGGUGUUGACAUGAAUAUCAAUUAUAUGGUCAUUUUUAUAAAUUUUCUGUUUACAAAACUUUGAAUUUUUCGAAAUACUAAGGAUUUUCUUACCCCCAGGAGUAUAUUACCUUAGCCGUAUUUGGCACAACUUUUUGGAAUUUUGGAUCCUCAAUGCUCUUCAACUUUGUAUUUAUUUGGCUUUUUAACUAUUUUGAUCUGAG
rnacentral:lncRNA from 1 species